rnacentral:rRNA from 1 species
GACGUAGGUGGCGAACGUUAUCCGGAAUUAUUGGGCGUAAAGGGUGCGUAGAUGGCUUGAUAAGUUAGCAGUGGGAAAUCGAGGCUCAACCUCGUGGAAGCUGGUAAUACUGUCAUGCUUGAGUUCAGGAGAAGUUAACGGAACUCCAUGUGGAGCGGUAAAAUGUGACGAUAUAUGGAAGAACACCGAUAAGGCGAAGGCAGUUAACUAUUCUGUUACUGACAUUGAGGCAUGAAAGCGUGGGGAGCAAAACGG